rnacentral:rRNA from 1 species
CUGACCGUAAACGAUGCCAACUAGCGAUCCGCCGGCGGAUAUUUCGCCCUGGUGGGGAGCUUCCCGGAAACGAAAGUCUUCCGGUUCCGGGGGAAGUAUGGUUGCAAAGCUGAAACUUAAAGGAAUUGACGGAAGGGCACCACCAGGAGUGGAGCCUGCGGCUUAAUUUGACUCAACACGGGGAAACUCACCCGGCCCGGACACCGUGAGGAUUGACAGAUUGAAAGCUCUUUCUUGAUUCGGUGGUUGGUGGUGCAUGGCCGUUCUUAGUUCGUGGAGCGAUUUGUCUGGUUUAUUCCGAUAACGAGCGAGACUCUAGCUUACUAAAUAGUCUGGUCUUUAUUACUGAGGCCUGACUUCUUAGAGGGAUUUUCGGUGUUCAGCCGCACGAGAUUGAGCAAUAACAGGUCUGUGAUGCCCUUAGAUGUCCGGGGCUGCACGCGCGCUACACUGGCGAAAUCAGCGUGCUUUUCCUAUCUCGAAAGAGAUUGGUAAACCGAUGAAAAUUUGCCGUGAUUGGGAUCGGAAAUUGCAAUUAUUUUCCGUGAACGAAGGAAUUCCAAGUAAGUGCGAGUCAUCAACUCGCGUUG